rnacentral:tRNA from 2 species
UGCCCUAUCGCAUAACGGUAGUGCGGCAGAUUCUGGAUCUGCAAGUGGUGGUUCGAUUCCAUCUGGGGCAAC